rnacentral:rRNA from 1 species
UACGUAGGGUGCAAGCGUUGUCCGGAAUUAUUGGGCGUAAAGAGCUCGUAGGCGGUUUGUUGCGUCGGCUGUGAAAUCCCGAGGCUCAACCUCGGGUCUGCAGUCGAUACGAGCAAACUAGAGUGUUGCAGGGGAGACUGGAAUUCCUGGUGUAGCGGUGAAAUGCGCAGAUAUCAGGAGGAACACCGGUGGCGAAGGCGGUGAUCUGGGCCGACACUGACACUGAAUCGCGAAAGCGUGGGGAGCGAACAGG